ACGGAGGAUCCAAGCGUUAUCCGGAAUUACUGGGCGUAAAGAGUUGCGUAGGCGGCAUUGUAAGCAGGUAGUGAAAUCGUGUGGCUCAACCAUACUCACAUUAUCUGAACUGCAAAGCUAGAGGACAAGAGAGGUCACUGGAAUUCCCUGUGUAGGAGUGAAAUCCGUAGAUAUAGGGAGGAACACCGAUGGCGUAGGCAGGUGACUGGCUUGUUCCUGACGCUCAGGCACGAAAGCGUGGGUAGCAAACGGGA
rnacentral:rRNA from 1 species